rnacentral:rRNA from 1 species
GGAGCUGCUCAUGAAUUUAAGUAGCCGCAGAAUUUCUGUGCUAAGGUAGCAUAAUCAUUUGUUUUUUAAUUAAAAACUAGAAUGAAGGGUUUAACGUUUUAAUUAUUUUAUUAAUAUUUAUACUUAAUUUAAUUUAUAUUAAAUAUUAAAAUAUAUUUAUGCAAAAAAAAGACGACAAGACCCUAUUGAAUUUAACUAUGAGUUUAGCUGGGGCAGCUUUAUAAUAAUAAUUUUAAAUACAACUUUAUUAAAAGAAUAUUCCAAUAAUAUUGAUUUUUAACAAAUUACCAUAGGGAUAACAGCGUAAUAUUAAUUUGAAGUUCUUAUUUUAAUUAAUUUUUGCGACCUCGAUGUUGAAUUAUUUUACUUUAUAAACGCAAUAGUUAGAAAAGUAGGUCUGUUCGACCUUUAAUAUUUUACAUGAUCUGAGUCAAAACCGGAGA